rnacentral:rRNA from 1 species
GAUGAACGCUAGCGGCAGGCUUAAUACAUGCAAGUCGUGGGGCAGCAUGAGUAGCAAUACUUGAUGGCGACCGGCAAACGGGUGAGGAACACGUACACAACCUCCCUUCAAGCGGGGAAUAGCCCAGAGAAAUUUGGAUUAAUACCCCAUAAUAUAUUUGAUAAGGCAUCUUAUUAAUAUUAAAGCUUCGGCACUUGAUGAUGGGUGUGCGGCUGAUUAGAUAGUUGGCGGGUAACGGCCCACCAAGUCUACGAUCAGUAGCUGAUGUGAGAGCAUGAUCAGCCACACGGGCACUGAGACACGGGCCCGACUCCUACGGGAGGCAGCAGUAAGGAAUAUUGGACAAUGGACGAAAGUCUGAUCCAGCC